UACGGAGGAUGCGAGCGUUAUCCGGAUUUAUUGGGUUUAAAGGGUGCGUAGGCGGGUGCUUAAGCGUGAGGUGAAAGCUCGGGGCUCAACCCCGGAACUGCCUCGCGAACUGGGUACCUUGAAUGUCCGUGCCGUGGGAGGAAUGUGUGGUGUAGCGGCGAAAUGCAUAGAGAUCACAGAGAACACCGAUUGCGUAGGCAUCUCACGAACGGAUGAUUGACGCUGAGGCACGAAAGCGUGGGGAUCAAAC
rnacentral:rRNA from 1 species